UGGCUGAAGUCUAAAAACAGGUGUUUUGCUG
rnacentral:piRNA from 1 species